CCCUUAGAUGCUCUGGGCCGCACGCGCGCUACACUGAUGCAUUCAACGAGUUUCUUCCUGGUCCGAGAGGAAUGGGUAACCUUUUGAAAGUGCAUCGUGAUAGGGAUAGACUAUUGCAAUUAUUGGUCUUCAACGAGGAAUUCCUAGUAGACGUAGUUCAUCAGACUGCAUCGAUUACGUCCCUGCCCUUUGUACACACCGCCCGUCGCUCCUACCGAUUGAGUGUGUUGGUGAGGAGUUUGGAUUGGCCUCGGAAGGUGGUUCGCCACCGUCCGUAGCUGAGAAGUUCUCCAAACCGCCCCACUUAGAGGAAGGAGAAGUCGUAACA
rnacentral:rRNA from 1 species